rnacentral:rRNA from 1 species
CCUACGGGAGGCUGCAGUGAGGAAUAUUGGGCAAUGGGCGCGAGCCUGAACCAGCCAAGUCGCGUGAGGGAAGACGGUCCUAUGGAUUGUAAACCUCUUUUGUCGGGGAGCAAAAGACGCCACGCGUGGCGUUCCGAGAGUACCCGAAGAAAAAGCAUCGGCUAACCCCGCUCCAGCAGCCGCGGUACUACGGAGGAUGCGAGCGUUACCCGGAUUGAUUGGGUUUAAAGGGUGCGUAGGGGGGCAUUUAAGCCGGCGGUGAAAUGUCGGGGCUCAACCCCGGCCUGCCGUCGGAACUGGGUGCCUUGAGUGGGCGAGAGGGAUGCGGAAUGCGAGGUGUAGCGGUGAAAUGCAUAGAUA